UUGCAAGCCUAUUCCUUCACUGUAAUUAGAGCCUACUUUUUCUGGACCCCAGCAUGUUAGGAAGCCCACAUAAGACGUCCAGCCUCAUGGGGUGAAUAAAUCCAUAAAGGGUGCUCCUCUGUGACCUGGGUAAACUCAGAACUGUACUCCAUCAACAGCUGGAACACCUGGAAACCAGUUUGACAGAUGUUGGGAGAGCAAGAAUCUGCCUUGGCUACUGAGCAUGGGAAAGUGGCCUUAAAGGAAUACUUCCAGAGAUCCCAUCUCUGCCUGGGAGGGAAGAAACACAGCGAGUGUGCCUGAGAGAUUGUCACUGUAGAAAUCAGGAGAGCUGCAAGGGAGGCUGAGGAGGCAGAGCUGCAAGGGAGGCUGAGGAUGCAGAGCUGCAACCACUGAUAAAAUUAUCAAGAGAAACAACUUAAUAACCAUACACAUUUGGACUUAAAGCGACUGUUCACAGACAUAAUCCCAGCGCUCCAGAGGCUGCAGCAGGCCGACUGACUAGACUUCAAGGCCAGCCAGGACACAUAGGUUGACCUCGUCUCAAAAACCCAAAUCCAAACAACCCAAAACUCCAAGAAUUCCCAGUUACGAAGUUAUGAAAUCAUUCAACCCACGCCUUAAGAUUUUUGCAUCAAAACUCCAUCCGGUGGGGUUCGUAAGUGUGCUCUGGGAUGACUCACCUCACUCCUAAGGAACUAAGUUUCUCAAAUGUAAACGGGACUGGAAUAAUCAUUGGAUUGUUAUAUUAAACCAACACAUGCGUUCUUAGAAACGAAGCAGUCAAUGUACUUUCUACUGAAUUCUUCAGUGCUACCCCAGAAUAGUGGUUAUUGGUGGAGCAUUGCAGUCUGUUCUGCUUGCCCAAAAGAGAAUUUCUGAGAACCUUGGGAACAAGUACUAGAAAAGAUGGAACAGGGUCCCUCUGUCACAAGAACUGCUCUGGCCAGCAUCGCAGGGCCCCAGCCCCUCCCCCUUGCCCUCCUCUAGCCUCACAAAACCCAUUCCCCUGCCACAGUAAUGUCCCUGCCUCCACUCUGCUCAUUCCUGCAGGUGUUUUCGGCUUCCCUUUGUGGUUUUAGCUUCCGAUCUCUAUGAAGAAUGAAAAGCAAAAAUUGUGCAAAGCUACUCUAAGAAGUUUUGGAUUUGUGUCUCGAGGCAUAUUUGCGGAGUGGAGGGAAUGCCCAGGGUGACGCGCAUCUGAAAGUGAAAGGAAGCCUUGGGGUUUGCCAGGUUCUCUAAGCGCUGUGUGGGAGCGCCCCCUGCUGGCCAUGCAUUGCGCACUAAGCCCACAUCUUAGGAAGGGGCCAGCGCCACUGGCAUGAGCGCUAGAAUGUCACUGUUCUCUGAGGUUAUAUUGUUGCAGAAAAGAUCUAGCCUCCAGCUUCAGGCAGCACAUGUCUUCUUCGGGCAGUGAACGGCUGGAGGGAGACAGGCAAGAAUGCGGUUUGUGUCUCCUGCCUGUUGUGAGGUCUACGCCUCUGGACACGGCGCAUUAUCCACGCUGUGGGACAGACCCCUAGGAACUCAGGACGGGGCUGCAGUGGUAACUAUGGAGAAGUCUCGUAUCUGAAGGAAUGUUAAAUGUAAGAGAGUGAAUUCAGCUUCACAGUUAAUGCCAAAAUAUCACAUCGUGCCUGACUUUCCCGAAAGAGUGAAAAUAUACCUCUCACGGCUCUAAGACCUCAUCCGGUGCAGAUCUGUCCAGGCUCUAUGCAUGCUGCAUUCUCUGGGAGCUCAUCUGCGCACUGAUCCUGUUGAUUUUGAGGGCCUUGCUUCUUUGGUGUCCUUCGUCCCCUCUGACUUUUAUAUUCUUUCCACUUCUUCCAUGGUUCCCUGAGCCCUGAGGGGAGGGAUUUAAUGCUGAGUGUUCCAACAUCUCUCCAAGGUGUCUGUUUGGUUUUUACUCUAGGUCCCUGAACUAUCUAGUCUUAUGUUGUAUGAGGUAUGGGUUCUAUCUCGUGGAGUGGACCCUAAGUCAAAUCAGAUAUUCAUUGACUACUCCCACAAGUCCCGUGCCGCUAUUGUCCUAGCGUAACCACUGUAGAUCCGAGCGUUUGUAGCUCGGUUGGUGUUUUACCUUUUGCUAGCAUACACAUACUUUACUGUACCAAAGAUGCUAACAUGUAUGUAUAGGUGAAGUCUCUCUGUAGGCACCAGCUUGACUUCACGGUCAGUGAGUUGUGUAGAGGUUAUUUUCAGCAAUGGUCCUUGAUGUAAGUUUGAGAACAACCUAUAGUCUUGGCAACAGCCUGGGUUGUUUUGGGGUUCAAAUGGGACCUCUGGCUGACAACUCAAUUAGACAUAACCCAUCCCCAGCAUUGGAAGCUUCAUUUGGCAGCAAGAGAUGGUCACUUGAGACUCUGUCUCCCCCUUUGUUUGGAGAUUUCAGUUAGAUUACCUUCAGAUAUGUAUAUAUUUUUAGGAAGCCUCUACUGGUGUUAAGUUUCCCUGCCAUCCAUCAAAUGACCUUAAUUUUAGCUGUCUUCUCCAAGCAUCCCCUUUCUUCCCCCUCCCCCACUUGACCCUCCCA